rnacentral:rRNA from 1 species
GAUGAACGCUGGCGGCGUGCCUAAUACAUGCAAGUCGAGCGAACAGACGAGGAGCUUGCUCCUCUGACGUUAGCGGCGGACGGGUGAGUAACACGUGGAUAACCUACCUAUAAGACUGGGAUAACUUCGGGAAACCGGAGCUAAUACCGGAUAAUAUAUUGAACCGCAUGGUUCAAUAGUGAAAGACGGUUUUGCUGUCACUUAUAGAUGGAUCCGCGCCGCAUUAGCUAGUUGGUAAGGUAACGGCUUACCAAGGCAACGAUGCGUAGCCGACCUGAGAGGGUGAUCGGCCACACUGGAACUGAGACACGGUCCAGACUCCUACGGGAGGCAGCAGUAGGGAAUCUUCCGCAAUGGGCGAAAGCCUGACGGAGCAACGCCGCGUGAGUGAUGAAGGUCUUCGGAUCGUAAAACUCUGUUAUUAGGGAAGAACAAAUGUGUAAGUAACUGUGCACGUCUUGACUGUACCUAAUCAGAAAGCCACGGCUAACUACGUG